rnacentral:rRNA from 1 species
CGGGGUGGAGUAAUGUCUGGGAAACUGCCUGAUGGAGGGGGAUAACUGCUGGAAACGGUAGCUAAUACCGCAUAACGUCGCAAGACCAAAGAGGGGACCUUCGGGCCUCUUGCCAUCGGAUGUGCCCAGAUGGGAUUAGCUAGUAGGUGGGGUAACGGCUCACCUAGGCGACGAUCCCUAGCUGGUCUGAGAGGAUGGCCAGCCACACUGGAACUGAGACACGGUCCAG